rnacentral:rRNA from 1 species
UACGGGGGGGGCAAGCGUUGUUCGGAAUUACUGGGCGUAAAGGGCGCGUAGGCGGCGUGACAAGUCACUUGUGAAAUCUCCGGGCUUAACCCGGAGCGGCCAAGUGAUACUGUCGUGCUAGAGUGCGGAAGGGGCUACUGGAAUUCUCGGUGUAGCGGUGAAAUGCGUAGAUAUCGAGAGGAACACCUGCGGCGAAGGCGGGUAGCUGGGCCGACACUGACGCUGAGGCGCGAAAGCCAGGGGAGCGAACGGG